rnacentral:rRNA from 1 species
UCAGGAUGAACGCUAGCGGCAGGCCUAACACAUGCAAGUCGAGGGGUUAGAAGCUUGCUUUUGAUGACGACCGGCGCACGGGUGCGUAACGCGUAUGCACCUACCUUUUACAGGGGAAUAGCCUUUAGAAAUGAAGAUUAAUGCCCCAUGGUACCUCCUGGUUAAAACUUGUGGUAAAAGAUGGGCAUGCGUCCUAUUAGUUAGUUGGUAAGGUAACGGCUUACCAAGACUGCGAUAGGUAGGGGCCCUGAGAGGGGGAUCCCCCACACUGGUACUGAGACACGGACCAGACUCCUACGGGAGGCAGCAGUGAGGAAUAUUGGACAAUGGGCGAGAGCCUGAUCCAGCCAUGCCGCGUGCAGGAAGACUGCCUAUGGGUUGUAAACUGCUUUUAUACAGGAAGAACACCCCUACGUGUAGGGGCUUGACGGUACUGUAAGAAUAAGGAUCGGCUAACUCCGUGCCAGCAGCCGCGGUAAUACGGAGGAUCCAAGCGUUAUCCGGAAUCAUUGGGUUUAAAGGGUCCGUAGGUGGAUGAUUAAGUCAGAGGUGAAAUCCUGCAGCUCAACUGUAGAAUUGCCUUUGAAACUGGUCAUCUUGAGUUAUUAUGAAGUAGUUAGAAUAUGUAGUGUAGCGGUGAAAUGCAUAGAUAUUACAUAGAAUACCAAUUGCGAAGGCAGAUUACUAAUAAUAUACUGACACUGAUGGACGAAAGCGUGGGGAGCGAACAGGAUUAGAUACCCUGGUAGUCCACGCCGUAAACGAUGGUCACUAGCUGUUCGGACUUCGGUUUGAGUGGCUAAGAGAAAUUGAUAAGUGACCCACCUGGGGAGUACGUUCGCAAGAAUGAAACUCAAAGGAAUUGACGGGGGCCCGCACAAGCGGUGGAGCAUGUGGUUUAAUUCGAUGAUACGCGAGGAACCUUACCAGGGCUUAAAUGUGAUUGACAGGACUAGAGAUAGUUUUUCCUUCGGGCAAUUUACAAGGUGCUGCAUGGUUGUCGUCAGCUCGUGCCGUGAGGUGUCAGGUUAAGCCCUAUAACGAGCGCAACCCCUGUUGUUAGUUACCAGCGAGUCAUUCGGGAACUCUAACAAGACUGCCAGUGCAAACUGGAGGAAGGUGGGGAUGACGUCAAAUCAUCACGGCCCUUACGUCCUGGGCUACACACGUGCUACAAUGGUAGGUACAGAGAGCAGCCACUGCGUGAGCAGGAGCGAAUCUAUAAAACCUAUCACAGUUCGGAUUGGAGUCUGCAACUCGACUCCAUGAAGCUGGAGUUGCUAGUAAUCCCGGAUCAGAACGCCGGGGUGAAUACGUUCCCGGGCCUUGUACACACCGCCCGUCACACCACGAAAGUUGGCAACACCCGAAGUCAGUGGCCUAACUCGCAAGAGGGAGCUGCCGAAGGUGGGGUUAGCGAUUGGGGUG